AGAGUUUGAUCCUGGCUCAGAAUGAACGUUGGCGGCGUGGAUUAGGCAUGCAAGUCGAACGGGCCGCAAGGCCAGUGGCGCAAGGGUGAGUAAGGCGACGGUAACCAACCCCGCAAUUGGGUAUAGCCGCGGGAAACCGCGGGUAAUCCCCAGCGACGCAAGGACGCCGGCAUCGGCGUCUUGCCAAAGCUUCGGCGUUGUGGGACGGGCUGUCGUGGUAUUAGCUUGUUGGCGGGGUAACGGCCCACCAAGGCGGCGAUGCCUACCGGGCGUGCGAGCGUGGCCCGGCACACUGGGACUGAGACACUGCCCAGACUCCUACGGGAGGCUGCAGUCGAGAAUCUUCGGCAAUGGGCGCAAGCCUGACCGAGCGACGCCGCGUGGAGGAUGAAGGCCUUCGGGUUGUAAACUCCUGUCGAGGGGGAAAAAGGGCUGCAAGGCCUUGAUUGAUCCCUGGAGGAAGCACGGGCUAAGUUCGUGCCAGCAGCCGCGGUAAGACGAACCGUGCGAACGUUAUUCGGAAUCACUGGGCUUAAAGCGCGUGUAGGCGGGUUCGUACGUCCGUCGCUGAAAUCCCCCGGCUCAACCGGGGAACGGGCGUGGAUACGGCGGACCUGGAGGGGCGUAGGGGGACCUGGAACUUCCGGUGGAGCGGUGAAAUGCGUUGAGAUCGGAAGGAACGCCCGUGGCGAAAGCGAGGCCCUGGACGCCUACUGACGCUGAGACGCGAAAGCCAGGGGAGCGAACGGGAUUAGAUACCCCGGUAGUCCUGGCCGUAAACGAUGGGUACUGNAUAGGGGGCUCGCCGAUGGGCUCCCUGUCGUAGGGAAACCGUGAAGUACCCCGCCU
rnacentral:rRNA from 1 species